rnacentral:rRNA from 1 species
GGCUGAAACUCGCCUACAUGAAGCUGGAGUUGCUAGUAAUCGCGAAUCAGCAUGUCGCGGUGAAUACGUUCCCGGGCCUUGUACACACCGCCCGUCACACCAUGAGAGUUGGCAAUACCCAACGUACGUGAUCUAACCCGCAAGGGAGGAAGCGUCCUAAGGUAGGGUCAGCGAUUGGGGUGAAGUCGUAACAAGGUACC